CAGCUCGUGUCGUGAGAUGUUGGGUUAAGUCCCGUAACGAGCGCAACCCUUGUCCUUAUUUGCCAGCGGUUCGGCCGGGAACUAUAAGGAGACUGCCGGUGACAAACCGGAGGAAGGUGGGGAUGACGUCAAGUCAUCAUGGCCCUUAUGGGCAGGGCUACACACGUGCUACAAUGGUCGGUACAGAGGGCAGCAAUGCCGCGAGGCGGAGCCAAUCCCCGAAAACCGUUCGUAGUCCGGAUUGCAGUCUGCAACUCGACUGCAUGAAGUCGGAAUCGCUAGUAAUCGCGGAUCAGAACGCCGCGGUGAAUACGUUCCCGGGCCUUGUACACACCGCCCGUCACACCAUGGGAGUGGGCUGUACCAGAAGCAGGUUGUCUAACUUCGGAGGACGCUUGCCACGGUGUGGUUCAUGACUGGGGUGAAGUCGUAACAAGGUAGCCGUAGGGGAACCUGCGGCUGGAUCACCUCCUUU
rnacentral:rRNA from 1 species